GCUCCGCAUGAACGAGUUUCCAUAUUUCCGCAUCCCAGCGAAACUCGGCUCAGAGAGCAAUAAAUAUCUACAUACCAUUACAAAUCGUACAACAAACUAAGAACGCAGGGCGAGGUGCAUCAGAUUUAAAGAGCUCGUUUAGAUUCCUCACUUGCCAUAGGACACAUAAUUAGUUCGCAUCAUUUACACUUGCCCUGAUCCAUAGCGAAACCCAACACACCUAGACUACACACAUUCGAAUAAGUCAGCAAUCUUAUCACAACUAACAGCAGCGAGAAGAGGUAAAAACCCGUAAUAGCUCUAAGAAUAAGACAUGCACAAAACUAAAAAGCUAGAUAUUGGUUUCGUAUCAUUGCAUGACAUAGUAAACCCUAAACCCUAAACCAAGAGAACAACAAUGAAAAAAAAUUUAAAACUAGACAAUCCCACACUCACAAACUGAAGCACUGCGUGAAGUUUGGAGGCAAGCCGAAGACCAUACGGCAAAGCGGAAGGGGACUGAACUCGGAACGAAGUUGGGAACAAAACUGGGAACAGCAGUUAGGGAACGAAAGUCUCGUUGAAGAAAGAGAUGAAAAAAGUAGAGAAGGAAGUUUCAUUCAUCUUACCUUCAUCUUCCAAAAUUUGUCCUUCAAUACUCGAAAUAGAUGGACGUUGGAUUUAUUUUAUGGAUGAAGAUAAAACGGAUGAACGCUUCAUGGGUCUGAGGCAUUGGGGCAUCGAGUCAAUACCGACACCGGGAGUUUCUCGAUUGCAAGCCUGUUGACUGAUCGGAUGCGAUGCAGAUUCCUUUCAAAGUGUUGUUGGAUGAUCUUGUGAUUUGUUUCUUUUGUGAGAGUAACCGAAAUUUUCGACAAUACAAUCACUUGUGCUCAGAGAUCGCCAGCGUAUCUUGUCGCCCUGCUUGAAUCCAAUUUUCCUCAUCUGUUGAACAAUUGUGUCAGGCAGCUGUAUGAGUUUUUUGCCGAAGCUGAUAUGGAGUUAAACUCAAGCUUGGUGAUCUGUGAUUCUAUCAAAACCAAUUGUAGUCUCUUGCUGGACUGUUGGAAGUUUGGUGCUAACAGGUCGUAGGCACAUCUGCAGUGGCUGCUCUCGCUGUGUCCAAGAGAUACAUUGCGGAGACGCAUUUUGAAUUGAGGAAGUGCAGUGCAAUUCGCAAUGAUUUUGAUCCCAAGAGUAGUCACUAGUUGAGCUUUUGUGUGGUGAGCAGAAUGGAAGCUAUCUGGGAAAACGUGCAACUUAUUUCAGUUGUUGAAUGCGCGUUCUGCAAUCUCUUCUUGGACCAUUAGCAAGUUGAUUUGGGCUUAGUAGCUUAUGCUCGUAGUAAUUACUUUUGACCACGAUUGUUUGAGAUGAUUCCAACAAUAUGAAAGGCAUUGAUUAGGGUAGAACUUAGUGCAAUUUGCAUGAUUAAUUGUGGAGUUAUGUGUUAUAGACUUAUCGAGAUCUCAAGCUGUUUAUCAUGUUAGUGUCUUGCUAGUGUUGAUUUUCUUGCUUUUUCUAGCAUACUCAGAUCAUCCAUGCCGUGAAUUUUAGGACUAAUGCCUAUGACUCAGUCACACACAUUAGUCAGCUCAUGGUAUUCUUGUUUGUCGUAUGAUUUGACUUUCUGGAUAGUAUUUGACCUCGAUUCUUCUGUUUUUUUGGGAUUGUUUCUUCAUUGAAGGACAUGUCUGGAUAUCCUCAAGUUCAGAGCUUGGAAGCACACCUUCACUUGCGUCCUGGUUUUGAUGUUCUUGUCAUGGAAGCUUUGCGCGAGUUUCUAUUGCUUGCAAAGAUUGGAGUUCGUUUACGCUUGGAGUUGCAGAGAACAGUCCUGAGUACUAACUAUGGCACAUUUAGAAAGCUUCAAAAUGGGAGGUCUGUGGACCCAUAAUUUUAUCUUUCAAAUGCAUGUGAUAUAUCUUGUGCCACGGCAGGGAUUCGUGAUUUGAUGAGGCAUAUCAUUCGGUUAGGAUCGCUCAAGUGGAGUAACAGAGUAUUUGUAGAGGGUGCCUACGUUUUGGGGUACAAUAUCUUACCCAAGAUUUUUCGACAGAGGAUUCUUUGAUCGAGCUGCAUGGAUACACAUGACUGAGCAAGGGAUCUGCUGAAAAAGUCAGCUGGUCUGGAGUUCCUCAGUGGAGCAGAAGAUAUUCUGAAUUCUGAAGUCAACCAAUCUGCUGAAGUAGUUGAUGUAAAGAGAACUGACAAUCAAAAGCAUUGCUCGAGAUAAGUUAGUAUUCCAUGAUUGGUUGAUGCUAGUGUGGAUUACAUUUCAGUGGGCAAUCUUAGAACAGGUUAGAUUUAGAGAAUGUUUGUGUCGAAUCUCCUUGGCAUUGUACUGUCUUCUCAGACGAGGUCUUGGAUUAUCUGCAUCACUUGCAUAGAUUACGGCGAGAGCUUGGAAGACCCUGCUCAGCGUCUUUAGAUAAAGUAUGGCGGAGGGGCUUUUGCUUGGAUAAUGGCCUCAAACGUCGUUACACAACGUUCUCAAGGAUAGAAUGUCGAUGACCAAGAUAGGAUGACCCAUUAAAGUUCCGAGUUGUUGUCUCUGAUACUCAUGUUAAAGAAAUUGACAGCCAUCGCCAAGGGAAAUGGAAGUUUCAAAGCGGAUUGAGUGA